rnacentral:rRNA from 1 species
GACGGAGGAUGCAAGCGUUAUCCGGAAUGAUUGGACGUAAAGCGUCCGCAGGUGGCAGUUCAAGUCUGCUGUCAAAGACCGGGGCUUAACUUCGGAAAGGCAGUGGAAACUGAACAGCUAGAGUAUGGUAGGGGCAGAGGGAAUUCCUGGUGUAGCGGUGAAAUGCGUAGAGAUCAGGAAGAACAUCGGUGGCGAAGGCGCUCUGCUGGACCAUAACUGACACUCAGGGACGAAAGCUAGGGGAGCGAAUGGGAUAGAUACCC